rnacentral:lncRNA from 1 species
UCGUGUUGCUAUUGGUCAGGUUCUUCUCUCUGUUCGCUGCAAGGAUGGUAAUGCUAACCAUGCUCAAGAGGCUCUGCGCCGUGCUAAGUUUAAGUUCCCUGGCCGACAAAAGAUCAUCGUCAGCAGGAAGUGGUAAGACUUUUAUCUAAAGCAUCACCUUAAUUUUUGUCACUGCACUGGUUUUUAGCAAUUUAUAUCUUCCAGUUCUAAAAAUGAUUGAUUUAUGAAGGAUAGGCAUGUCAUGGUGCUAUUCUUUUAUUAUGACAGUUAUACAGUUUUUAAGGAUCAACAUAUACUAACCUCAUAUCACACAGAAGCUCAUACUAGAGAGAUCACAAAGUUUGGUCUCUCUUUUUUAAUGUCGUUAAUGGGAGAUAAACUCCUAGGGGUCUGCUUCCAUCCAAAACAUGUUAAGUUCCUUGAAACCUAGCUUGCUCUACUUCUUUUAAUGUAAAUAUACUAUGCAUUUUCACUUGCAGCCUCACUAGAAGAGGAUCUGUUGUAUAGGCUCGUAAUGUAGCAUCUUUGAGUGCUAAGGUGUCAAAAGUGUUGCAUACUAUUUCUCUUUUAAAAACUACAUGAUUAAUCAUUGUUAGGUUUCCAAAGUGCUCCACUGGAUAGAAGUUGUGCUUGCAUCACAGUUCUUUCUUUGAUUGCAGGGGG